AUGCCCGCGGGGCAGUCGGCGUGUGUGGGAAUCCUGUGUGGGGACAGAGGAACCGCGGGAUGGCCGGCUCGUCAGGCGGCGGGGACCCCUCUGUCAGACCGGAAAGACAAAGGUGGCCCCGUGGGACGAGGGAUAAGUAACUUGAAACGCAUAUUUUUAAGUGAAAACUUAAAAAAAGGAAAAAAAAAAGGAAAAAGAAGCUUUUGGGAUUGCCCGGGAGGCGUAAAUGGCUCAGCCUAGUAUGAGAGUGCGAGGGGUGUUAUUGGCCUUGUUUUCCAAACUGCACGACGUGCUUUGUGGAGUACAAUGCUUUGAAUUCCUGGUUUGUCAGCUCGAACGUCAUUACUGCCAAAAAUAGAAGACUAAGCAUUUGCCCCGCUUGGAACAGCGUUGAAGUGAACUGUCCUACCUACGCUCAGCCCUUUUUGAAGUCCAUACAGAUGUCACAGGUUUUUGUUUUGAAACAGCUGGUAGGUCAUAGACAGACCUCCCUUCAUCCCUUUCCACAGAAAAGAUGGAAAAAUUAAUCUCUUCUUUCCCUAUGUCUAAGCAAAAAAAACCCCAAACAACCAAACAAAAAAACAACCCAACAACCAACCAAACAAACAAAAAAACCCAAAAAACUAAAUAAAUCCAUGCCUUUGCCUCUUCCAGUGCCACAGAUACUGAUACAAAGAAAUAAACAAUUUCCCUAACCCCUCCUGUCACAUAGAGAAAACAAUCACACCCACCUAAUCUUUUCCCUCUACUGUAACUGAAAGAAAGCUUUGUCUUCUGCAAUAUCCCCCCAAUGUCCCUUCCCAUUGGCUGCCAGGUGUAUAAAUUGUGGGGUUUGAUUACUUUCUGUAUUUUCUCAUCAUUUUCACAAGCAGUGCAUGCACAUCAAAGGUAUCUGCAUAUCAAACACUCUGAUAACAUUAGUCUUCUGAGACACCUUAAAUGUUUCACGAAUGGCAGACAGGAAAAAAAAAAAGAAAGAAAAAAAUAUACUUUCCUAGUUAGUCCAGGGAGGGGUGGAGGGGAAGCUUGUUCAUGCUCAGGCUAGAUAAAAAACUGGAAUUUAUACCAUUUAUCUUUUCGUAGGGCUUGCAGGAGUUCUUUAUCUUGAAUGAUGUGUCUUUUCUGACUGUCAGUGUCACAGAUGGUUUCAUGCAUGUUCAGAGGUUGCACCUAAACACUGAGAUAAGACAAAGCCCUCUAAGUUGUCCUGAUUCAACCCCUUCCCAGUCAAGUACACUGUCCACAGUUCACUUUCCACAGUUUAUUCAAACACUCUUGGACUGCUAUGAAGACUAUGUAAAAAAUGGAGCUAGUCUAUCACAUAGUAAACAGUAUUUAAAUUAACUCAGUGGGAACACAUUACAGUGGUGCCUGUCCAGCUAUUCUCUUUCUAAGACUGCGUGUGCUGUAAGCAUCAGUCUUGAAUCCUGUGAGUGGCCUUGGGCCUGCUUGGAUGCCUUUCUUUGUCUCUCUCUCCAUCUGCAGCCCAUCCUGACAUUUGCUGUCAAGGAUGGUACCUGAUGGAGUCUGAAUUGCAGCUCAAGGGCAAGCCCACCUUGAUUCUUUCUGAAUGCAAUGCAAGAAACUUCAGUUUAAAAGGCCCUUUCAUGCAGAAUUUAGAUUGAUAAAGAUUUUUCCUCCUCUUUGAUAAAAGAGGAGGAAAAUGCUAAUAUAAUCACAAAAUAUCAUGGUGGCAAACAGCAAUGCCUUUAACAGCUCUCUUUAAAAUCCUAGAGGCAGAUAUACAGAGAAAAGAAGAAAGCAAAACCUAAAUAGUCAAAGGCAAAGCAAAGGUUAAUUAUUUCAUGGCCAAGCCUUACAUUCAGAAAUCUGAACUAUUUCCUGUUCAGUGUCCACAGGACUUUCUUCUUUGUGAUACUGGCCAUACUGAGCAUAUUGGCACUUUCCAGACCAGCGCUACACAGGAUGAGGUCAACAGGCUUCAGUUCCCAGGACAGAAAUAAGAGUUAGGCACCUGACAGGAGAAAGUGUACGGUGCUCAGAAAUUAGAGAGUAAAAUGAGUCAGGAUUUUAUUGAUCCUUUUUCCUGCUCACUCAGCUUUUAUUACUCAAAGGUUUGAACUAACCUGUAAUGAUAGAAGAUUAGUCUUCUCUUUCUUGCAAACAAAUCCACUGAGUAUUCAUGAGUGACAGACUACUUAGAAUCAUAGAAUAGUUUAAGUUGGAAGGGACUUUUAAAGGCAUCUAGUCCAACUUCCUGCAAUGAGCAGGGGCAGUUUCAACUAGAUCAGGUUGCUCAGAGCCCUAUACAACCUGACCUUGAAUUUUUGCAGGGGUGGAGCAUCCUCACAUCUCUAGUGGUACCAACUGUGCCAGUGUUUCAUCACCCUUGUGAAAUAUUUCUUCCUCAUAUCUACUCUAAAUCUGUCCUCACUGAGUAUAAAAAUUGUACCCCUUGUCCUGUUGCAACAGGUCCUACCAAAAAGGUUGUCCCCAUCAUUCUUAUAAGUCCCCUUUAAGUGUCGAAAGGCCACAGUAAGGUUUCCCUGGAGCCUUUUCUUUUCCAGGCUGAACAACCCUGCCUGUCUCAGCCUGUCUUCACAGUGGAGGUGCUCCAUUCCUCUGGUCAUUUUUGUGGCCUUCCUCUGGACCCACUCCAACAGGCCCAACUGGUACUUCCAAGAGACUUGUAAGAAGUGAAAAAAGGAUUUCAAGUGAGCAUGGUCGGGCUGAUAUUUGAGUACCAAGAAGGGAUGUGCAGUUUCAUUUUAGAGAUGGAACUCUCUGUUGGUAAACUGCCAGAAUCACAGGAAGCAAACCAGAGGACCAGAGGCACAGAAGCUGAUAGAAGGGGAGCACAAAUCUCCCAAGGAUAGAUGAUUAUUAUUAUUAUUAUGUAUUUUUAAAAAUAAUUUUCCUCUCUUGUCUUUUAGCCAAACUUGUUUGCUACCUCCAAGAUAUAAAAUAGAAGCUCCACACUGCUCCACACUUUUUCCCAACUCCUGCAAGAAUGCAAAAUUCAUGCAUUUCCUAGGGUUUUCCCAUGGCAUUCAUUUCAGAAGAGCUUUCCCUUUUCAGACUUAAAAGUUGAAGUACAAAGAGAUAUGCACACUGCUUCAUAUAUGUGCAUAUUGCAUUUUUUUAAUUGAAAGAUAAGUGAUUAAAAUGUGCUGAUCCCUUGAGAAAUAAGGUUUCUGAGUAAAUAUUCAACUGUCAUACCAUUAGAUGUGCUGAAACAGCACCAGUUGAAUAUAAAAACUCUCCCUGCUCACUUUGAGGGAGUUAAUAGCAGUGGAGAGGAACUUGUUUGACAAGAAGGCCAUUCACAGUGGCCAUCAAUAUCAGGCAGGACACCUGACUGCUUCAUGGUUUUUACAGAGAAAGACAGAAAUGUUUAGAAGUUUUGCUAUGCAGAUUAAUACGGAGAGAAGAAACUUCCUAUAUUUAUUUUCACCUAGCUGAAAAUUUGAACCCUGUGCCACUGUGGAGCAAAAUGCUCCAUGAUCUACAUGAGAAGGUAACUGAGGAUCAGCAGAAUAUCUCAGCCAUGAAACAUGACAUCCUUUGAACACAUCCCCAGGAAACAUUUUCGUGGGGAAAAAAGAACAACAGUUAACCUCAAGUGAGCAGAUCUCGCAGAAGGAGACAUUUUUAUUUCCCAUGUUGCCCAAGCACUGUGAUGUGAAGUCUUUGAAAUGACAGUAGCUACAAAAGACAGGAGCUCAGGCAAAGAACAUGCCCUAGGGACAUGUUGUGGCUCCAGCAGCUGUGAGGAAGACAGCUUAGAAAACAGCACCCAACACAGCACCUCUGGCACAAGCAUCAAAUGGAAGAAGGCAAACCUUGUUCCCAAAAAUCCAAGCCAUCUUCAAUCAAUGCACUUACCAGUAACUUGUGGAAGAAUGUCUGUUAGUUGUAUAUAUGCUGUUCAUACAACUCACUGACUAAAACAAAAUUGCUUUGACCACUCAUAUAAAAGCUUAAGGCAUUGGGAUAUCAGGUGCCUCACUGAACUCUGGACUUCACAUAUUUGUUCUCAAACAUUGCCCUUUCUUUGAGUGUUGUAUAUUGUAUUCAGAAAAUAACACUGAGGUCCAGUUUUCUUUAAGAGCAGAUUUAGAAUAUGACAACUUCUGCUUUUGAAAGUAGAUUGCUUUAGACACCUCUGGGUCUUGCUUUAAAUAGAAAUCACCCAUGCAGUAUGCUUGUCAACUUGGGCCAGACAUGUCAUACAAGGGUUGGUUGCAUUUGGGAAUUUUUUUUCUUUUUUUCACCUAGAUAUAAGCAAACCUUAAUGUUGAAACUUUGAAAACAACCAGACUACUGUCAUCUUUAGUUGAGAGAAAGAAACAGAAGCACAAGACUCUGCUUGAAUUCUUCUUUCCCAUAUGGCUCAAAAUAAGUCAAAACUGCCAUUUUCUUGUUUUGAAGUUAUUUUGAAGGUAAUUUCUAUUUUGAUACAGAUCCUGGAGGAAUAGAUGGAGGAGAAGAAUGACCUGUUAUGACAGUGACUUACAUGUACCAGACAUCAUGGCAAAGAUGGAAUUUUCUCUGUGCCCUGAACAGGAAUGCUCAAUAGCAGCAUGGUUUUGGUAGAGCUUUAGAUAAAUGAGCUCUCCAUCCAGGUCUAAUUAGGAAACACAACUUUGCUGUGCUGUCUCCAGUGAUACCAGACCAGAUCCACAAAACUACAUUUCUCCAGUCUGCAUCUUUAAAACCUGUUUCCAAUCAGUGGUUUGAUGCUUCUUGGUCAUUGGUUCAGAGUGCUUAUAAUCAGUGCUUGCAAAAAAAUUUAGAUUUGUGUCUUUCAGGGUUGCAUGUUUCCUUUGAGACUGACACUAAUUUUAGCAGAGCCCUCGGCAAGAAUAACUUGAAUGCUGCAAGGCUGCAUUGGGCUCUCUCCUCAACAGUGCUGUGGAGGGAGGAUGUUUGCACAUCCAUGACAAGCCCUAACCUUUCCUCCCACUCUCAGCUUCUGUGACUUUGCCCCCUCAGGCUAUGAUUGCCCCAUCUUUUCAUUUUUGAGGCUUUGCAGACUUUGAUGCUGUUGCUGACAGUGCUGAAAGCCAGGAGCAGGGGAAGGAUGUGGUAAGGAAAAGUGAUGUGUUGAGAUUGAGAGGGAAAUCAGGGAAUUCAGUAUUUGACAUGGCCUGUCACUAUCAAGUGAAUGCACAGCAUGGAUAAGAAGGUGUGGACUGAAGGAAUAGGUGGAAAUAUACUUGUGGAGCAGAGCUCUGGGAAGAUGGAUGUCUCCUUGAAUAACUAGACUGGACACCACAAUUCAGGUUUCCUAUUCCAUUUAGUAAUACCAAGGAAUCUUUGUCAGUUCCUGAAGACUUUCUCACAACAUAUUGGGUGCCCUUUACAUAUGCAAAAUGAAAGAAUCUGACAGGCACAAACAAGUUUGUCAGAAAGAAAUUAUUACUUUGUUGAAGAACGGAUUGAUGCCCUAAACACAAUGAGCUGUGAGACUGGGUCAGUAAGACUCAUUCUUACUUUUGGUGUGAAAGAAACAAACUACUUGGAUCUCCAGGAAUCUCCAGUCACACACAAGUGGCACAAAAAGUUGACAGCUCUGUUUGGUAAUUUAGAUCCUCCUGUAGGUUUUGUCUUUCUAGCCCGUCUGUCAAAAAGAUACAAACCCCACACAUCUAACAAGAUGGUGAAGUGGGAGCAGUUAAAGCUGUAGACAAGUGUUGCGGUGUGACUUCAUGAUUUGCCUCAGUUUUCCCUGGUUUCUCCCUGAAAUUUCCUUCCCCAGGUGGGCUGUCAAUCAGCCUCCUUUUCCCCACCCUUGACCCCUGCUGGGCACUGUCUAUCAACCCAGAAAUUCCAAGAGCGUAUUGAGUGAUUGGCAGGUUCAAAGGAUGCUCUCCACCCCCUGGGGACCAUUGGCCCACCCAGGUGUCCCUUUCACCUGAGACCCCCUCCCCCUGUCCUGGUUGGUGCUCCCUGUGUUCCCUCCCCUGCCCCUCUGCCCAGGUAAAAGGACAAGCACACCGCGCAGUCAAGGUUCUGGUGGAGAGUUCUGGUGGGAGAGUUAAGGGGAUUGUUGCAAGAUUCAGAGGCCGUGCCACCAAAAUAAAAACUCUGGAUUAAAAACUCUCCGUCAGGACCUGCUCCUUUCUUCAUCUCGCCUUAAGGGUUUCUCCAGCUCAGGAAGGCCUGAGGAGUGACCCCCUCAGCAGCAAGCUCCAGCCGUGAGCACUGGAGCUCGGGGCAUGCCCAGACUUGUCCCCACGUGCCCAGCCUGACCGCAGGUACUGAACAGCGUCUCUGGGGAGAAAAUUCCACAGGUGCUGCUAUUUGGUCAGCAGCUGGGACCAGACAGACCAAGGCAGUCCCGUGUGUAAUAUUGGCAAACACCAAUAGACAAGAAUUAGUCAAGUCUGUACUACCUGGUGACUUUGAUCUCCUUUCUGUUACCUGUUCUUUCACUUAGCAAGCUUUCCUAAUCAAUGCUCUUUUAUCAGAGUCUUGUCCUUGUUCCGUGGUUGAAAAUCAACUGAGAUAUCCUUCGUGUAACCCAUCUGUCAGCCAGAUCUAGAUCAACCAUUCUAUUUUCUGCCCAUAGGCAUUUUCUUGUUAGACAGCCUCUGCAUCUAGACCGUCUCUUCAAAGUUCACCUUGUACAACAGCAUCUGAACAGAGAGCAAGAGAAAAGGAUACAAGGAAAUGUAGCUAUUGUCAGAAAUGGAAACAACUGCAAAAGUGGGUCAAGAAGGUAUUCUCCAGCAGAAGCUCUAAAUCUAUAAAAUGGGUCAAAAUGGAAAUUAACCUAGAACUCUCAGCAUCUACCUGGGACAAGUGCCCAUCAGCACAUGGAUUUCAAAGCUGUUUCAAGAUGCAGUUUCAUAGAUUUUGAAUUCUUCAUAAGCCAUGUGUGUUGAACUUCAGUGACUAUCCCCAUUUGUACAGCACUUUGACUUUAUUUCUGAGUUUGUGUAGCUUCAAGUUCCAGCUAUUAGUUGUCAUCUGAAGCACUUUGUGUCUGAUUUGAGUUCCCUGUAUUACCAAAAUUCAGCUUCCCACCUAGAUUAUCAAAGGCUUCUCUUACAUUUGUAUUGCAACCAUUUUUGUGAGAGAAGUAGGCAAAGCAAGAUUUGUUAUGCAUGCAUUCAAUUAAAAAAAUUUCAAGACCAAAAAAUAAAAGACUCCAGGAUAUGUUUAUUUUUUUCUGAAUGAACAUUACAAUACUUACUCCUUACUGCACAGGUCAGAUUUUGCUUGCUGACAGUAAUUUGUGUUCUGAUUGCUAUUCUUUAGAGCAACCUAACAUUCUUUCCAUUGAUUGCAAAACUCAGGUUGCUUUGAUUCUUGAGGAAAAUUACUUAAACUAAGAAUGCAAAGAACACAAGCCAAAAAACUCAUGUAUUUUUCUGACUGAUAGAUUAUAUUUCACCAUCCAAAGCAGAAAAUAAAUAUGUAACUCAGAAAGUAACAAGUGACAGAAAUCUUGCCUCAAAGAGCUAUUAGCCAUUUAGUUGUGAUCGCAACCUCAUUUAUUUUUGUAAGCCUUAAUUUGAUUUCAAAAGAAAUGUAUGAUGCUGUAGCUAAUUUCAUCCUGAUACCAAAGCUAAUUUAUCUCGCCUUUACAUGCAGCAUCAUGUAGCUGGAAAGAUUAUUUUAUUUGGAUAGAGUUAUGCAAAAGUGCUCAUUUUAUUCUUUAUGUGUACAAGGUGUUUUCCCUGCAACUUAGAACCAGUUGAUUCCAUUCUGUGCCUCCCUUUUUUCAGGUCUGAUCCUGUUGUUUUAUUGUUUUAUUCUAACAGUUGUUUUAUUCUAACAAUUGCAACACUGGAGGUUUUAGA